GAGGAGAUAGCUCAGUUGGUAGAGUGCUUGCCUUGCAUGCACAAGGCCCUGGGUUCAAUCCCCAGCACCACA
rnacentral:tRNA from 1 species